UACAGAGGUCCCAAGCGUUGUUCGGAUUCAUUGGGCGUAAAGGGUGCGUAGGUGGCGUCGUAAGUCGGGUGUGAAAUCUCGGGGCUUAACUCCGAAACUGCAUUCGAUACUGCUUUGCUUGAGGACUGGAGAGGAGACUGGAAUUCAUGGUGUAGCAGUGAAAUGCGUAGAGAUCAUGAGGAAGACCAGUGGCGAAGGCGGGUCUCUGGACAGUUCCUGACACUGAGACACGAAGGCCAGGGGAGCAAACGGG
rnacentral:rRNA from 1 species